rnacentral:lncRNA from 1 species
UAAUUAUUAAUGUUGUAAUAUUCAAAUCAUUCUAAUAACUCAGUUCACUAUAUAUUGACUAGAAAUAACAUAUAUGUUGUAUGCAGGUUCUUUAGGUGUGAUUUACAUUCAUUAGGUGUGGUAAAGUAUUUUUGGUUGGUUUGGUUUGAUGUUGGUGCUGCCAUCAAAUUUGCCUUUGUUAUUGCUCAGCUGGUCUAUGCAUAAAGUUUACAAAUUCUCUGCACAUCCUUAAACUAUCUCUAGUUUUGUGGUUCUACUACUAGGUGUAUGCAAUGUGCAAUAUUCAUUAAUUUAUAAUCAUUAUAUCUCAUCUUAGGUGUUGAAUUUGUGAUUAAGCUCUUCUAUUUGUGACUUCAAUUUCAUGUUUGUACUUUGGAUAUUGAUUUACUGGAAUGCACUUAUCAAUUAGACUCCAAUAUGUUAACCAUUUAAUUAAGUUCGUCUAUGUUUAAACACUAUUUUAAUUAAAAUUAUGUUUUCCUUAAUGAUUAUUGUUUUGAAUUUUAUAAAUUAUUAUUUUGAAG